GAUGAACGCUGGCGGCGUGCCUAAUACAUGCAAGUCGAGCGAAUGGAUUAAGAGCUUGCUCUUAUGAAGUUAGCGGCGGACGGGUGAGUAACACGUGGGUAACCUGCCCAUAAGACUGGGAUAACUCCGGGAAACCGGGGCUAAUACCGGAUAACAUUUUGAACCGCAUGGUUCGAAAUUGAAAGGCGGCUUCGGCUGUCACUUAUGGAUGGACCCGCGUCGCAUUAGCUAGUUGGUGAGGUAACGGCUCACCAAGGCAACGAUGCGUAGCCGACCUGGGAGGGUGUUCGGCCAGACUGGGACUGAGACACGGCCCAGACUCCUACGAGAGGCAGCAGUAGGGAAUCUUCCGCAAUGGACGAAAGUCUGACGGAGCAACGCCGCGUGAGUGAUGAAGGCUUUCGGGUCGUAAAACUCUGUUGUUAGGGAAGAACAAGUGCUAGCUGAAUAAGCUGGCACCUUGACGGUACCUAACCAGAAAGCCACGGCUAACUACGUGCCAGCCGCCGCCGCAG
rnacentral:rRNA from 1 species